rnacentral:lncRNA from 1 species
AUCACUCGGCACAAGAUAAAUUUGUGCCCUUAAUCUCCCUUCCCUCUAUCAUCCGUCAUCUUCCCAUAAGCUAAACCACCAAAUUCGCGAAGAAGCAAAUCAAUCGGCUGGAUGACUUAGGCGCACGUAUCUGGUAAUUCUAUAUUUUGGUCUUCUUGCAUUAUUAACCAUAUUUUGGUGCUUUUCCGAAGACUAGGAGGUGACGUGGUGCAAGGAUAUAGUUUGUAUGUAUGAGCUGAGAAUGUCUCUGACGUAUCUAUGUUAGUGGAAUUGGUGGUGGGUUUUCAACCUUGAAAAAUCCCUCAUUUUGGAAGUGGAUAUGUUCUGUUCUUUUUUGCAUCAAUUAUUGGUCUGUAUUAUCAGAUUCUUCAUAAUUUCGUAACUAAUAUAAUAUUUCAGUUUACAUCUUAUUUGGUUUCGUCUCAUGUCAAAGCGAGAGAUGUAAUACUUUUCUGGGUUCUCUGGCCUGAAGUAUCUUCUUUUACAGCUUGGUUUUUUAAGUGAAUUUUUUUCAGCAAAUGCUUGUUUGCUUUGUCAUGUGUUUUUAUGGUUUGGAUUCUUAGUAUUUUCAACUUUGUUUCGACAUUUGGUAUUAUGAACUUAGAGCACUUGGAAACUUUUGACAUUUUAUCCAUAUGAUGAUAUGAAUUUUUGUUUUAUUAGCUGAGAAUGACUCUGACAUAUCUAUGCUGCAUGUUUGGAAACCUGAAGAUGAUUCUAAUGGAGAAGGCAAGACUAAAGAUCUUAUUAAAGACUUGUCAUCUAUGUUGGUGAGAGCUCCUCAAAUAUCAAAAAAAGAAGUCGUCGUGAUAUUCAUCAACAUGACUGUACGGAGGAUAAUGGGAAAGGAUGGGAAAAAUGCUUAUGAAUUUAUUCCAACUAUGAGACCAAGUGAAGAGUUUUCUUGAAUUUGUCUAACCCUACGUGAUUGGCACUAAAAUUGUUGUAAAUUAUGUAGUAUUUUCAUUGCCGUUCAAAUUAAUAGUUAACUUUGCUUGUAAUGGAACUAUUGUACAUGGAAACAUUGUGCAAAAUAUUAUUUUUUGCACAUGCUUAGUGGUUUAAGAAAUUAAUGCAUGUCAGUUGGCGAAUUUGUAUUA